rnacentral:rRNA from 1 species
CGUAGGGUGCGAGCGUUGUCCGGAAUUAUUGGGCGUAAAGAGCUCGUAGGCGGUGUGUCGCGUCGGCCGUGAAAACCUGCAGCUUAACUGUGGGCUUGCGGUCGAUACGGGCAUCACUGGAGUUCGGCAGGGGAGACUGGAAUUCCUGGGUGUGACGCGGUGAAAUGCGCAGAUAUCAGGAGGAACACCGGUGGCGAAGGCGACACCUGGACCGGUAUUGA